rnacentral:misc_RNA from 1 species
GGAAGUAAAAGUCGAACAAGGUCUCCGUAGGUGAACCUGCGGAGGGAUCAUUACAAGUGACCCCGGUCUAACCACCGGGAUGUUCAUAACCCUUUGUUGUCCGACUCUGUUGCCUCCGGGGCGACCCUGCCUUCGGGCGGGGGCUCCGGGUGGACACUUCAAACUCUUGCGUAACUUUGCAGUCUGAGUAAACUUAAUUAAUAAAUUAAAACUUUUAACAACGGAUCUCUUGGUUCUG